rnacentral:rRNA from 1 species
UACGUAGGGGGCAAGCGUUGUCCGGAUUUAUUGGGCGUAAAGAGCGUGUAGGCGGCUUGGUAGGUCCGCUGUGAAAACCUCGAGGCUCAACCUCGAGAUGUCGGCGGAAACCACUUGGCUAGAGUCCGGAAGAGGAGAGUGGAAUUCCUGGAUGUAGCGGUGAAAUGCGCAGAUAUCAGGAAGAACACCUAUGGCGAAGGCAGCUCUCUGGGACGGUACUGGACGCUGAGACGCGAAAGCGUGGGGAGCGAACAGG